rnacentral:rRNA from 1 species
GACGAACGCUGGCGGCGUGCUUAACACAUGCAAGUCGAACGGAAAGGCCCUGCUUUUGUGGGGUGCUCGAGUGGCGAACGGGUGAGUAACACGUGAGUAACCUGCCCUUGACUUUGGGAUAACUUCAGGAAACUGGGGCUAUUCCGGAAAGGAGCUUCUGGUGCCUGGGGGGGGGUUGGAAAGUUCGGCGGUUGGGGAUGGACUCGCGGCUUAUCAGCUUGUUGGUGGGGUAGUGGCUUACCAAGGCUUUGACGGGUAGCCGGCCUGAGAGGGUGACCGGCCACAUUGGGACUGAGAUACGGCCCAGACUCCUACGGGAGGCAGCAGUGGGGAAUAUUGCACAAUGGGCGGAAGCCUGAUGCAGCAACGCCGCGUGCGGGAUGACGGCCUUCGGGUUGUAAACCGCUUUCGCCUGUGACGAAGCGUGAGUGACGGUAAUGGGUAAAGAAGCACCGGCUAACUACGUG